AAAUUGAAGAGUUUGAUCAUGGCUCAGAUUGAACGCUGGCGGCAGGCCUAACACAUGCAAGUCGAGCGGAAACGAGUUGUCUGAACCUUCGGGGAACGAUAACGGCGUCGAGCGGCGGACGGGUGAGUAAUGCCUAGGAAAUUGCCCUGAUGUGGGGGAUAACCAUUGGAAACGAUGGCUAAUACCGC
rnacentral:rRNA from 1 species